rnacentral:rRNA from 1 species
AGAGUUUGAUCCUGGCUCAGAGCGAACGCUGGCGGCAGGCCUAACACAUGCAAGUCGAGCGCCCAGCAAUGGGAGCGGCAGACGGGUGAGUAACGCGUGGGGAUCUGCCCAAUGGUACGGAAUAACCCAGGGAAACUUGGACUAAUACCGUAUGUGCCCUUCGGGGGAAAGAUUUAUCGCCAUUGGAUGAACCCGCGUCGGAUUAGCUAGUUGGUGAGGUAAAGGCUCACCAAGGCGACGAUCCGUAGCUGGUCUGAGAGGAUGAUCAGCCACACUGGGACUGAGACACGGCCCAGACUCCUACGGGAGGCAGCAGUGGGGAAUAUUGGACAAUGGGCGCAAGCCUGAUCCAGCCAUGCCGCGUGUGUGAUGAAGGCCUUAGGGUUGUAAAGCACUUUCGCCGGUGAAGAUAAUGACGGUAACCGGAGAAGAAGCCCCGGCUAACUUCGUGCCAGCAGCCGCGGUAAUACGAAGGUGGCAAGCGUUGCUCGGAAUCACUGGGCGUAAAGCGCACGUAGGCGGGUCGUUAAGUCAGGGGUGAAAUCCUGGAG